rnacentral:rRNA from 1 species
AUUGAACGCUGGCGGCAGGCCUAACACAUGCAAGUCGAGCGGAUGAGGGGUGCUUGCACCCCGAUUCAGCGGCGGACGGGUGAGUAAUGCCUAGGAAUCUGCCCGAUAGUGGGGGACAACGUUUCGAAAGGAACGCUAAUACCGCAUACGUCCCACGGGAGAAAGUGGGGGCUCUUCGGACCUCACGCUAUCGGAUGAGCCUAGGUCGGAUUAGCUAGUUGGUGGGGUAAAGGCUCACCAAGGCGACGAUCCGUAACUGGUCUGAGAGGAUGAUCAGUCACACUGGAACUGAGACACGGUCCAGACUCCUACGGGAGGCAGCAGUGGGGAAUAUUGGACAAUGGGCGAAAGCCUGAUCCAGCCAUGCCGCGUGUGUGAAGAAGGUCUUCGGAUUGUAAAGCACUUUAAGUCGGGAGGAAGGGCUGUAGGUUAAUACCUUGCAGCCUUGACGUUACCGACGGAAUGAGCACCGGCUAACUUCGUGCCAGCCGCCGCAGUAACAC